UACCGGCGGCCCGAGUGGUGGCCGAUAUUAUUGAGUCUAAAGGGUCCGUAGCCGGCUUUGCAAGUCUUUUGGGAAAUCCAGCGGCUUAACCGUUGGUCGUCCGGGAGAUACUACAUUGCUUGGGACUGGGAGAGGUAGGAGGUACUCAGGGGGUAGGAGUGAGAUCCUGUAAUCCUUUGGGGACCACCGGUGGCGAAGGCGUCCUACCAGAACAGGUCCGACGGUGAGGGACGAAAGCUAGGGGC
rnacentral:rRNA from 1 species